rnacentral:misc_RNA from 1 species
GAUGAAGAACGUAGCGAAAUGCGAUACGUAAUGUGAAUUGCAAAUUCAGUGAAUCAUCGAGUCUUUGAACGCACAUUGCGCCCCCUGGUAUUCCGGGGGGCAUGCCUGUCCGAGCGUCAUUGCUGCCCUCAAGCACGGCUUGUGUGGUGGGCCUCCGUCCUCCUCCCGGGGGACGGGCCCGAAAGGCAGCGGCGGCACCGCGUCCGGUCCUCGAGCGUAUGGGGCUUCGUCACCCGCUCUUGUAGGCCCGGCCGGCGCUUGCCGACACAUCAAUCUUUUUUCCAGGUUGACCUCGGAUCAGGUAGGGAUACCCGCUGAACUUAAGCAUAUCAUAAGCGGAGGA